UACACAAAGCAUAUGAUGAGAAAGCCUAAAAGCUGACUCCGUGUGAAGCGUGUUCAAUCCAACACUGAGCUUUGUGUC
ensembl:snoRNA small nucleolar RNA, C/D box 69